rnacentral:piRNA from 1 species
CUUCAUAGCCUAGACCUGAAUUUG